GAUGAACGCUGGCGGCGUGCUUAACACAUGCAAGUCGAACGAUGAAGCCCAGCUUGCUGGGUGGUUUAGCGGCGAACGGGUGAGUAACACGUGAGUAACCUGCCCUUAACUCUGGGAUAAGCCUGGGAAACUGGGUCUAAUACCGGAUAGGAGCGCCUACCGCAUGGUGGGUGUUGGAAAGAUUUAUCGGUUUUGGAUGGACUCGCGGCCUAUCAGCUUGUUGGUGAGGUAAUGGCUCACCAAGGCGACGACGGGUAGCCGGCCUGAGAGGGUGACCGGCCACACUGGGACUGAGACACGGCCCAGACUCCUACGGGAGGCAGCAGUGGGGAAUAUUGCACAAUGGGCGAAAGCCUGAUGCAGCGACGCCGCGUGAGGGAUGACGGCCUUCGGGUUGUAAACCUCUGUCAGUAGGGAAGAAGCGAAAGUGACGGUACCUGCAGAAGAAGCACCGGCUAACUACGUG
rnacentral:rRNA from 1 species